CUGAUUUUUUUCUUUAUUUUUUAUUUUAAUUGAAGAAUGGAAAAUCCUAAAGUAACGCGAUAUACAUAUUAAUAUUAUCUUCUCAUUGCAAUGUGAAUGAAUAAAACUUCAACUCUGAAUCAGAAAUACCAAAUUCAUAUUUCCGUGUGAAAGCAUUGGAAGGGGUUGGUGAACUUCAUUUCUUCGUUGGGGGGCCGCCAGAUCAGGGCUGC
rnacentral:lncRNA from 1 species